UGCCACCUGGGACCUUCUCAUUUCGAGGCUGUUUCAUCCAGGUUUCAUGGAGUUGUAUGAGGAGCUCAGUCAUCAGGCACUGCUACAGAUCACACUUGAGUUAUGAUCUGAAAUCGAAGGCAACAAGGUUACAGAGGAUGGUAUUUAAGAUAUCAGUGGAGUUAUAAAUAGAGAUGGAGUCUGGCAGCAGGGAGGAAGAAUUUCCCAAGGAGUCUGUUGCUGGUGUGUGUUAGGGCUACAUAAAGUAAGAUUUCUGUUCCAGUCUUCAGCUGGGAAGACAGUUGGAGGGGGCUGGAUGCCAAAUGGUGAGGCUGCAGGGAUCUCCAAGGAGGAGAAUGGAUCCACAAGUGAUACAGGAAGAGAGAUUGGAAUGCUGAUGGUUCAAAUAUUCAGGAGAAGCUGCUGAUGUGCAGAGGCACAGAGGGUGAGCACAGCCCCCCUCAGGCUCCAGCUGGUGUUGAAUGAGGUAAGGAAAGAAUCAAACCCUGUGUGGUGGGGAAUUAAUCUGUCCUUACUCCAGUGAACUCAGCUGUGUUUCUGCCCUGCCAGGGAAGCACCAGAGCCCUCCCAGGCAUCCUGGAGGUAUCUGUCCCUGCUGAUGGGCCCCCAUGGCCACAAUGGACUCAGCUGCACUGCUGUCAUAGGCAGCUGGAUCUCCUUGGAAGGUGUCAAAGACUCCCCAAAUGUCCUGAGGUCCACAACAUUACAUCACCCAGGGGAAAUUCCCUCCUCCAGGGCAGCUAUCUGGGCAUUCCUAUUUGAGCCUGAGUGCAAUAAACCCAACAGAGUUUGUAUUCUGGGGGUUCCCUCACCACCUGAUGAACCCAGUCUGUGACUGUCACUUUGACUGAGACUGUGACCAUCACUUUGGCCAGCAAACAUUGAAAUGGCAGCAGCUGAGCCUCUUCACAAGCAAGGCCUGUGGGUGGUGAGAUUCUUCUUCUCUUAUCAUUUCUUUCUCUUUCUUAUACAUUUUCUGCAGUGAUAUUUUUAUGCUUUUAUAUUGUCACAUUACUGUAGAUAGCAGCAAUCAAAAUGUCCCCAUACCUGCUCUCCAUUGCAACCAAACUGUUCUACAAUAAUCCCUACAUAGGUAUAAUUACAAACACCCAUCACUCAGUGUUGUUUCACUCUAAUCCACCCCAAGUGAGUCAGACAUUGAGCUAUACUCAUGGUAUGGGCUAAAAGUGUUCAAAAUUAUUUGCUUUGAGGGGUCAACUCUCCUUUAAAGGUGUGGGGGCUUGGCUGCUGCUGGGGAAGGCAGAAAGUGAAGAAAAGCAGGUAGAGUCCAAUGACAAAUGAAUUGCUGCUCUGCUAAUCAUGAAAUAAAGAGUUGAAGUGGAAUUCUCAGCAGCUGUGAGGUCAGACCUGGCUGCAAUACACACAACCUGUGCCAUGAAUGUGACAGGGAGGGAGAUGGACUUGGGUGAAGAAGAAGAAAAGGAAGGCAAAGCACGCAAAGAAGAAAAGAGGUUUAAGGCUGAGUGGGAGAAAGAGAGAACAUAAGAAAUGAUCAUCAUCCCUGAUUUACAUUUGAUGUGUGGCUUUUACAGACUCUAAGAAAAGAGAAUAUCUGCUCUGAAACAGCUUUAUCUGUCACUUUGCAGAGCAAAGUUCUUUUUGACACUAGAAGGAAAAAGCCAUGAAGCAGCAAUUUGCAGCAAUGAACUGAGUUCCCAUUAUCAGCUAGACUGUUAAACCUGUCCUCACCAGGCUCUUUUUCUGCACCAUGGACCUCUUUCAUGUCAGUUUUUGAAUCAAGCAAAGUGUAGCCCUUCAGUGAAUUGGAAGGGAUGAAAAAUUAGAGGUCAGAACAAUCUUAUUAUACAUAAGGAAAGAGAUUUAUGUUUUCUCUGGAUCCAGUAAUCUGAUUUUCCAUUGUAGCUUUUCUCCAUACAUGAAAUCUCCAAGAAAAAGAAUUUAGUUUAAUGACUAUGUAAAAAUUUUCCAGAUGGUAUCUAUUACAUUGGAAAGUGAUAAAUAUCUCAGUUAAAUAAAAAAAAAAAAAGAAGC